CGAGAGGGACCUAAAGGGGCUACGGGAAAGCUGGAGAGGGGCUUUGGACAAGGGCCUGUAGGGACAGGCCAAGGGGAAUGGCUUUAACCUGCCAGAGGGGAGACUGAGAUGAGCUCUUGGGCAGAAGCUCUUCCCUGUGAGGGUGCUGAGGCGCUGGCACAGGGUGCCCAGAGAAGCUGUGGCUGCCCCAUCCCUGGCAGUGUUCAAGGCCAGGUUGGACACAGGGGCUUGGAGCAAGCUGCUCCAGUGGAAGGUGUCCCUGCCUGUGGCAGUGGUUGGAGCUGGGUGAGCUUUAAGGUCCCUUCAAGCCAAACCAGGCUGGGAUUCUGUGAUUCUAUGAAUUAGACAAGAAGAAAUUGUGUACUGCAAAAAAGUAAUUUUAGGUUUUAUCAGAAAUUCACUCAGUUAAUCUUCCUGUAAUCACGGAUGUGGUUAAUUAUAUAUGGGAAAUGGUAUAAGUGGGAAACAUUUGUGAACGGGAAUGUGUAAAAUAUGCAUUAAGAUGCAGUUGCAGUUUGAGCUAUGCAUGAACUUGCCCUCACCCCUUGGUGGUGGUCGAUCUUACUCUGUGACUGCCCAUGCUCCCAGAGGCCUCCCUGGGCUUAUAUGUGCUGUAUGUCUGUGUGUUUCAGUGGCGUUGCAAUAGGAGAUGGCAGAGUUCCCAACCAAGAGCAUGCCAUGCCAGCAUGAGAAAAGGAUAGACUUCAUAUUCUCCUUUCCCUGGUGGUUUCCUUCAGAAGUAUGGCUAUUGCUGGUCCUGUGCUCAUUCCAGCUGAACAAUGUGAAUUUCUUCUUCAUUUCUUCGUUCCACCAGCAGGAAUUCUUGGUCAUUCCGGCAGUUCGUUUCUCUUUGCAGAAUAUGGUGUUCUCUUUGCUGGUAAUUCCUGUUAGGAACUCGUAGUUCUAGUUCAGUUUUAUCCAUGUUUUAUGCUAGAAUGGCUGCAAGUUUGGCUCCAAGUGUGGCUUUUCAGGAGAUCUGUAAUCAUUCUCUUUCAUCAGGCUGAGUGCUUGCUUCAAACUGCCAGAUUUCUUUUGGUUUUCCAUAGCUUUUAUUUUGUUGUAGUGUCAUAUGGGACACAAAUCCUUUAUCCUUUUCACCCCAGAUUUGGCUUAAUACCUUAAUUACAAAGUCAUUGAGUUGUCUCUUUUAGUAAAUGUGUCUCUAAUUGUCUCGUGCUAGUAGGCUGGUAUUUGCUAAGCUACUACAGUUUGUUUGGGGAUGAAAAUGACAUGCAAAAUAGAAAUAUCAGCAUCUCCACUCUAUAAUCUUGCCUUAAUUUUCUUGCUCAUCAAGUUGAUAUCAGUAAUUAAUGCUCCAAAAACUAACACUGCAUUUGUUGGUAUUGGUUCAUCCAGGAUCUUCUCAGCUAAUCACUGUAUUUUUAGUGCUGUUUAGUCCUAAUUUCCUUCCAGGUCCCUAGCCGUUUGGUGUGUGAAACUCUGUCUUUUCUGCAACUGGCAAUUCAAUAGCAGAGCUAAUCCGGUUUGAUUCAUAUCAUGAGGGUGCCACAGGAGCUGAGCAACAUCUGUUGAACCAUUGCUGCACAUUUGUGUCUUUUACUUUGGAGAAGAACCAAACACAGAUGAGAUGGGAGGGGAGUUUUGAGACAUGAGGAAGAUGACUGUCCAGAGCAAGACAAGUUGAGAGAUCUUUGUUGUGGAUCUGAGCUGUUGUGGAGUAAUGUGACUGAGGGAUUAAAUGUCACAGAGAGAAAUGACGUGAACUAUGCAGGCAGGAGGACAGUCACUGUAUUGGGAAACAGACAACAAAUGCAGGAUCAAUGCUAAAGACGGGAAAGCUAAAUUUCCAAACAUCUCCUCUGGGCCACAUUCAAAGACCUGAGCUGACUCCAACUGCUGAAUCCGUAGGGAGGUUUUCAACACAGCCUGAAGCACUUGGACAUUGGAGCUGGGCAAGAAGGGCGAGGGAGAGAAAUUCAAGCCCUCCCCGCUUCCCUUUGGUAAAUCAGGAGCACAUCCCUUACAGAUUUACUUGGUUGUGCCAAUUUAAUGUGAUUUCUUCUGAGGGCCAGGAACUACUCAAGGAAGGCUGACAGGUUUUAUCAACAGAAUGGAAACUGAAGUGAUAAGGUGAGAGUUACUGACCUGAUAACUAACAAACAGAAAACUUCAGUGUCCCUCAAGCUAAAUAUUGCACUCAGCAGGUAAGUAAAAGAUGGCAACAGCUGUGGUCUUGUCACUGAGAGAGAGUGUGGUUUAGUGUAGAGGAGCAGGAGGUGAACUGUGACAACAAACACAUUCAGUUUGCUACAGACUAUUUCCCUCUAUUACUUUUAAUGAGAGCUAAACUCCAAAAUGCACAAUGGGACAAUAAUAUUUUAGAUAGAAGGAACUCUUCGUACAGCUCCUAAAUUCUAGACACCCGGUUGCAAUUAAAAUCAUUGCUUGUGUAUUAUUAAUAGCUCACCAGUAGUUUAAGGCUGUUAUCAGGUAUGGGACCAAUUGGUGCUGGCCAGCACACAGCUGAAUGAAGAGUAGUGCUGUCCUUGAAGGAGCUGAGUUAACAACCUGAACCCACAGUGCCCAGAGGAGUUUGAAAAAUGAGGGAAACGUGGACAGGAGCUGUGUUGAAUGCAGCACUGUGGAAGCUGGCAAAGCAACAUGGCUGGGUUGCUGUAGUCAGAUGUUAGUGAAUGCUGCCUAAGUGGGGUUUCAUUUAGUUAAAUUCUGAAAUUGCAGUGUGGGAAGGGCAGAUUGGAAAGGAAGCAGAGACCUCUAAUAAACGCUGAUUUACAAGUAAUGGGCACAAAAAGUGCUGCAAGUACGGCAGUUUGUUGUUCUUGCUUUUUUCCCUUAUAUUUUUUCUUUUCCUGAGAACAUGCCGGGGUUGUGUAUGAAACCUGGUUGUCACAAGUCUCACACAUCCCUUGAAAUUCCUGUCUGACAGAAUAUGAAGGCUGCAGCAGCUGAACAAAAAGGCGCGCGACAGAGCUCUUGUAUGAUGUCCGUCUCCCCUUUCUGGCACCUGGCCUGUUCAGUACAAUUGGGAAAGACAAAUGGCAAGUGAUUGCUUCCUAUUCAACUUCUGCAAGCUAAUUUUGUUUUUCACAUGGCAGCAGUUUUGUACUCACCACGUUUGUCAUUCUGCCAUGUAUUUUUUCUUCUCCCUGUUGCAGUUCCUUUCCUGUUACAGUUCCUUUCCUUUAUAAGGUAAGGGCACCAGAACUACAUUUGGUAUUUGAGAAGCAGACGCACCAUGAAUUCAUAGAGUGGCAAAGUCAUACUUUUCUCUCCUAAGAAUUCUGAGCUUUUGCUUUUCUUUUUCUGCCUGCUGUUGAGCACCAAGGUGAUAUAUUCAUAGAACUAGCCAUUAGAAUGUCAGGAUGCAUUUGCUAAAUUGUGCAAACCAGUUCAGAGCCCAUCAUUCUGUGUGAAGUGAGUGUUGUUUUUUGUGUAUAGGUAGAUUAUAGCUGUCAGGGCUGAAAUUUAUCUCCUGCUUUAUCAUGAGGCUUACUCAAUGUCAUGAGAUCUUUAAGGUUUGGUAGUAAAUAUUAUCCUAAUUAAUUGAUGUUUUCUCAGAAAUCUUCACUGUUCCACCUACUUUCCAGGUCAUUUCUGAACACAGUGAACACCAUAGACCUUAAUCCCCAUGGGAGUCCACUGAUGAUCAUCCUCUACUGUGAAAACUCAUCCUACAGUCUAAUCUUUUUUUCCCCCAGUAUUAUUUAACUCUGUGAGGGCCUUACCUGUAGUCCCUGGCUUUUUAGUUUAUUAAAAAGCCUUUGAUGAGACCUUCAGUGCCUGAAGUUUCUGGAAGCUUGGUGUGAGCUGGAAAUGCAAGGGAAAUUUCUCAGCUGGAUCUCUGUUAUUUACAUGCUUUUGACUCCUUCAGAGAAUUCCAGCAGAUUUAGGAGGCUCAGAUUCCUUUCACAAAAGUCAUGUUUACUUAUCCUUAAUGUGUUACUUUUAUUCAUGUAUUCAGUCAUUCUGUUCUUUACUAGAGCUUCAGCCAAUACGACCGAUAUGGACAUUAGACUUAGUGGUCUGUGGGUUCUUGAAUCACCACUGGAUUUCUUUUUAAAAACUGAUUUGUUAUUAGUUACCUUCCAUCCCUUUGGUAAUCACAGCAAUUUUCAGCAAAAGGUUACAUACUAAGGGGAUUAGCUCAGAUGAUUCAUAUUUAACAUUCUGUAAAGAUCUUGCAUGAAUCUCAGCCACUGAUAUGUUGUUAUUCAGUUUGUCUGGUUGUAAUCUACACUUAACAACCUUAAAUUAAGACAAGCCUGUUGUGAAUGUCUUAUAAACAGGGUCCUGGCCUCAGAGUUUCUCUGAGGUUCUCCAGGUGAAGAGAGAUGUAAAAAGAAGAGUUUGUAAUCUUUUGCGGUGGCAUUAUCUUUUCUGAGUGCUUCUCUCAUACCUGGCUCUUGCAAGCUUCAUGCUCUUGAUGUGUUCCAAGAAGGAUUUCUUGGACUUUUUUAUUUCUUUAGCAAAUAGCUUCUAAAUUCUUUCUUCAGUCUAUGUUAUUGUGCUUUUACAUUUAGUCUGCCAGGAUUUAUGUUCUUUUUAGUUUUCCUUUUUCAGACACCACUUCAGCUUUUUGCAGAGUACGUUUUAACUUCCAACAGCCUCCCUGAUCCCGCUGUUUUGUGCUUUUUGUUUUUCUCUCAAGUCUUUUUUGACAGGUCAUAUGCAUUUGCUUUGAGCCUCCAAUAUAGGAUCCUAAAAUAGUCUACCUGCCAUCUGAAAAUGUUUUACCUUUCUGGCUGCCACUCUGAGUGUUGUUUUUGUUUUUUUUAAGAAAUUUCCCCAUUUUUGAAUUCCCAUUCUCUGGAAUCAAGCGCAGCUGCUGCAUUUGCCAACAUUUCUUCAUUUCAGAAUAUGUAGUCAUGAAUCAGAUAAAAGGAUUAAGGGUUUGGGCCUAGCCCAGUCUCUAGGAAGCCUGGAGAUAUUUGUCAUUAACUUUUCACUUAUGUUAAUGUCACUAAUUUCAUUAACUGAGAAACAGGGAAGGAAAUGGCUUUGCCAGGGCUGGAGAUGAUGGGACUUCCUGCCCUGGAACUUCAGCUGCUUUCUCCAACCUACAACAGAGAAAAUGAUGGCAAUGCUGGAAGCACAACCAUUUAAUUUGAUGGAUUCUGUCAGAAGCUCAGCUUUAGCUGGUUCUGCUCAAUAUUGGUAAUUGAUUAUAAUUAUUUGAAAAGGCAGCAUUGCUUUCCCUUGGCACCGUGAGAAGUAGUUGUGACUAAGAAGCAGACAUGCUAGCCAGCUGCCCUGCCUGGCCAAUGCAUCUUAAACUGUUUUCAGUGCUGCUGGGGAGAUGGCUGGAGAUAACAGGCUGAACUGUUCUAACAGAGAUGUUAGCAAGAUGAUGGAUAAUCACUGAAAUGAAUAAUCUGGGGAAGGUUUUAAGUACAUCUCUUCCAAUGUCAGAAUGGAUGUAGAUAGUUCUGGUCCUGCUUUUGUGCCAGGGCUUGGACGGGGUGCUAACAGCAGCAGCAGUGAUCUGACAUCUUCUAUAUGGAUCUGGAAUGGAGAGGUCCAAGAUACAUACAAUUUUGUCUAAAAUUGUAGGGGUUUCUAUGGCAGUGGAAUGGGUGACUCUGGCACCAACAGCUCUAAUCUAGACUCUUGAGUCUGAGAGUGGUGGUGCCAAAUGAUUACAAACCCUUUUGCCCACUGCGCUGGUUGGAAAAGAAAAUCAAGAUACAAAGAUUUUACUGAAUUACUGUUUGAGGACUAAUUAUUAAAAUGGUUUUUGAUUAAUGAGUUGUGAGUGAAGCUAGUUUGGCAAAUAGCAUUUUGAUAAGGUAUUUGCAAGACAGAUAGUCUUAAGAUGGUGUGAUGAACGUAAAACACUCUAACCUUAAUGAUGAAGUUAAUGCAGAAAUGAUGUAAAUGUGCAUGAGUAAUUACUGUAUGAAGUCACUGGGGUACAUCAGGACAAAUUGAGUACAGACAAACUCUAAUCAGCACAGAAUCAUUGCAAAGUGAAGCUGGAAGCAAUCUCAGGUAAUCAGUUGUUCCAUCUCCUUCUUCCAUAACAGAAUCAGAUCUCUCAUGACAUUCUUGGCUUCUUUCUCUUCCAUUUUUGUUGCAGACUUUUAUCUGCUCCAAGACUGUUACUGCACCUGACUCUGUCAGGCCUGCUAUUGCAUCUCUCCGUGGUCUUCUCUUUUGAGCAUCUCUUGUUCUAAGUCUCUUGAUUCAGGACAUGUUUUCCAGACCUCUAACUGUUACCAGUUUUCUUGCUGCUUAGUCUUUCAGCCUUUCUUGAGGAGUGGUACCAAAGACCGGAUGUUCCUCUGCACUGAGGCGUUACAAAUACUGAGUACAGCAAAAGGACAGGCAAGAUGUCUUGCAGUAAACCAGUGGAAACUACUCUCAGAGUGUGGAUUCCAGCCUGAUUUGUGUCAUGACUUCAGCCAGGGCAUUCUUGCACUCAUCAGUGUUGUGUGGGCCUCAGUGACAUUGAGAUUAGAAGCUCUGGCCUCAGCCUGCUCUGGGUGUGUGCUGUGAGCGCCAUGUGGGCAAUGAAGACAGUAGCUGAAGCAAUUACUGAAGCAUUAGUGACUACCCUGGAAGCUCUCAGAAGGCAGUGAAGCCUCAUUACAUUAAAUGGGAGAUCAAACAGAGUGUAUUACAACUUCCACUGUGUGCUGGUUUGUUUAGUGCAUCACUUCUUUGCAGGUUGAAAACAUCACAGGAUGGAGCCAGCAGUGCUGUGGUUGAGGGGAAGCAAAGGACACAGCUGAGGACUGGAGGCAGCAGCCACAUCCUGGAGCAGUUUGUUGCUGUGAUUGUGCCAGGGCUGCUGUGCCUCUGGAGCUGGAGGAAGAGUGCAGAGAUGAUGCUGUUUUGCUGCAGUAAAACAUCAGAAGUCCCUGGUGAGCAGCGCAGCCUUGAUGCUAUGGGGACCAAGGGAAGAUGCAUGCAUGGGAGAAGAUGCCAGGCAAGUGCUGAGUGAUCAAAGCUGAGCCCCAAAGAGGCUUUGACAUCUGGUACCCCAUUCCUGGUGGGUUGGUUGUGCCCAAAGGUCGAGGCAGGGGGACUGGAGGGGAUCCCUUGCUGCUAGCCAGAGGCGUGGUGAUCCCAGGUGAUCCUGCAGGGUCCCCCAUGACUGAGGUGAUGGCAGAGGGCUGUUUUCAGGGCUCUGCUGUGAAAGCAGAGAGCUGCACUACAGAGGCAGAGCUGGACUGUGCUGUCCCCAUAGGAAAGGCUGAUGUAGGUCAAACAAGUAGGAGCACAGGUAAAUCUGAGCUGAAAAGUUAGUUUGAGGAACACCCAGAAGACCUGAUGCUUACCUGAAGAGGUAUGAGGGCUGCAGGGGUCAGCUGCUGAGCUGAGGCUGUUUGGAGUGAGUAGUGGCUGGCUUUUGGACCGAGAUCAUCUUUAUGGUGCUGGGAUUGCCUGUGGGCAUGUUCUAUAGGUCUGUCUGGGACUGAAGGUGCAGCUGGUUCAGCCUUCCCUUGUCAGAUGCUCUUCAUUGUAGAUAAAAGCUUUUUCUGAUCAUUCUAGUUCCCAUGGCUGGGAAGGGGUUUAUAAAUGGCAAAGGCUGUCCUGUGGGUCAGCUCUUUGGGAAGUCUCUCAUCUGUCUAUCCCAGGAGCAGGUUGGCAAACCAUCCUCCUUACUUAAAUGUGCUGGCAAGAACAAGCAUCUCUGUGCUUGAACUUCAGCCCACUCAAGGUGGCAGUUCCUGUGGCUGCCCUGUGCUUUUGGAUGAGCUUUGGGAUUUGCCCAUCUGUGGCUGAAGCUCUAACUCUUGCUGGGUAUAGAGAAGUGAGUCCCAGGGCUUGGCUGGGGGCUGCUGGAGCUGCACAAAUCCAGUGCACGCAUCUGCAUGCCUGACCCUGCUUUGGUUAAAGCAGGGGAUUGAGUCCUAUUGUUUGUAGAUAAAAGCUUUCUAUUUCUGCUAUUUCUCUGUUUUCCUAAGUGCUUAUUGCUAAGAAUAACUGCUAUUUCACCUCUUGCCCGCCCUCCAUCAGCUGCUUGGAGCCACCAUUUUAGACGUCAUCUCGAGCUGCAAAGAGUAAGUGAUCUUGUUUUCCAGAGGCCCUGUUUGAAGGAGCAGGAACUGGAUUUUGCCUUCAUUUGCUCUUUAAGGAGCUGCCACAGGAGGAAAGGGCCUGUGUUUGCCAGUUCCUCACAGCCCUUGCUGAGAAGCUGCACCACAGCAAGCGCUGAGAAGGAAUCAAGCAUGCUGGCAUCACACUGGGCUAGUUUUCCUCUUGGAAAUCAAAAGUGGAGCAAAGCCACAACUGAGACAAGCUUGUCCCACAGCUCCUGCAUCAGAAAGAGCUUGUUACUGUGCUAGUGGAGCUAAAAGGGCUGUCUCAGUGUUGCAACUCUUAUUUCGUUGCAGGGGCAAGGGCCCAGCAAACACAGCUCCAGCUGGGAAAAUGAGAUGUGAGGGCUCCCAGCUUCUUCCCAGCAACCUUCUCUGCUAAUAACUGCAGGGAAACCAAAACAAUACAAAUAACCUGGCUUUGGCUGCUAAAAUCCAGGUAAAGCAAAGCAGUGAAAAGCUGUGAUAGAGACCUUGGAGAUCCUUUCUCUCUUCCUUUGCUCUUGCACUAAACCAGGGUCUGCCUUGGGCUCUGGGCCCUGACUGGGGGAGGCAGUUUCCAAAAGCAGCACAAAGGAGUUUUAUUUGUUCUUUGCUUACCACUUUCUCUGACCUCCAGUGCUGUGCUGGGAGCAGGAUCUGUACCAGGCAGGAUGUAGGCCCCAGAGGGUCAUGGAAGAGAGCCACUGUCAUCUGAGGUGAUUUUUAACACUAAACUGUGUGAUUCACUUUGCUGACACCACCACUCCUUGCUGCAGAGCAGAACCCUUCACACCAGAGCAGACUCAUGUGCCAUCCCUGGGCUGAGUCCUGAUUGCCCUCCCCUCAACCAGGUACAGCUUCAUCCUGCCCCUCUUCUUCAGACUUACUUACUGGUGAAUGGCUUAAGAAGAUGUACCCCUGCUUCCCAUCCCCAUGCUGAUGGCUGUGAGACUGGGCCCUGUCCUUGCCUCACUGCUGUGUAAUGGGACUGAUAGUCCUGAGAGCACAUGGAAGGCUCCUGGGGGCACCAAAGUACACAGACUCCCGGGGCAGGAGCACCAAAAAGCAGGUUGAAAGCUCUGGGGCACCCCAAAAAAGCACACCAAGGCCCUUAAGGACACUGGAAAAGAAACAGAGGGGCUCCAGGGGUACCCGAAACCACCCUGAGGAGCACUGUUGGAGAAGGACAAACAGAGCAGUGCUGGUUUCCCUCUCAGAUCUCCAACUAGCUAGGAAACCACAAAAGCAACCCAAAAGGUUGGGAAAACCAAAGGUGAGACACGGAUUCCAAGGACUGAAAAGCAGACAGAGGGCUUUGAGGUACCUUGGUAGCACCAGCAAGCAUAUACAGGGGUGUGGGGGGCAAAAUAAAUGGACCAAAGACUCUGGGGACACUGGAGGGGCACCAAAACCAAAUCAAUUGCUUAUGUAAGUGACCUGAUUCAUUUUUCUCAGCAGAAGGAGUCCUGUGUCUGUCCUCUUGCCUCUGUGUGCUGGCAUCCAGGCUUCAGAUGAAUUUCAUGGUCUGUAAUCAUCCCGGGAGAAUUUCCCUCUUGUUCAUCCUACGGAAGAGAAACUCUCCCAUUUCCACUUGGAUCUUACAAUAGCUUGUCAGUGACAAAACAUUCCCAAAUCCUCUCAUUUAUCAAAUGGCCAAUCCUGUUAACAGCUUAAGAAACAUAAUUACCUGCAAUCUCUUCUGCUAUUCAUUUUAUGCCUACACUUCCCUCUCUCUGGCAGCUUCCCAGCAGGCAAGUCAAGAGCUGAAGCAUGGCUGCAGCUACCAAGUGCUUGAGCAAUGCAAUUUCCUCUAAUCACCUGCACAAUGAUAGCAGGAGUUUUGCUUCCCUGUUUGUAGCAGCAAGGAGCAGGUGAGGAAGGCAGGCAUAGAGCCAAAAGCAUCAGCUGACAGUUGUGGUGUAUCUACAGCUUGUGAGAGACUUUGGCUCAACUCUCAGGGAGGAUUUACAAGAGCAGUGCUUUCAGGCUGGAGAUCUGCUGGCUUCCUGAAUGUUGGGUAUGUACAGGACAGCUUGAUCCAAAGAGAAACCCAUAGGACCACCGUAGCCUACCCUAGACCUGGGAAUUAGAAAAUUCCUAGCUCUGUUCUAUCCAUGCUGGCUGCUGAGGAAGCUGCCUUUGUGCCUUAAAAUCUUGUACUAGCCUGACAUUAUCACUGUGCAUUUAACUGGCCAAGGCAUGCUUCAGCCUACAGUCUCCAGUUAGACCUGCCUUCUGUGUGGAAGGGUUUUUCUUACACCUACUCUACUCCUCUUUUCAACCCUGUCAGCUAUUUUGGAUCCUUAGGGGUUGGGAUAAAUGAGGUGCGUUUCUUCCGACACCUUCCAGUGUUAUUUUUAAGCAAUUUUUUAUGCUGCUUGCCAACACUUUAUCCUUACAGUUCUUUGAAUGUUGUAUUAAAAACCCCUAUGAACAAGCUGUAUACAAAUCAGAAGUUUGGUGUUUUGUUUUGUUUUAAAUCAGACAUCAUCUUAAGAGAUUUGGAACUUUUUGAUCUUCCUAAGAUACUGAAUACGAGUAUAUUUUGGUCACUAUCGUAGAAUAACCCUUUCUUUAACAGCAGUUUGAACCUCAAAUGCCAGUUUUUGCAACUACUUUUCCCAAUGGAAAUAGUUUAAUUCACUUCUCAAAAUACAGGCACUUACAUUGAUGAAAUUUCAGUGUAACCCAUAUGCCACCCAGACCAAGACACCAAAGAACUUUGAUGGCUCUGGGCUACAUGCCCAGAGCUGUGUGCUGCUUGGGAACAGCAAGGACUCGGAUAUAGAAUCAUAGAAUCCCAGACUGGUUUGAGUUGAAGGAACCCUAAAGCUCAUUCAGCUCCAACCCCUGCCAUGGGCAGGGACACCUUCCACUAGAGCAGCUUGCUCCAAGCCCCGUCCAACCUGGCCUUGGUACGAGACUGUGUGAGUGCUGAGGAGGGACUGAAGUAAGCUGUUUUCUUGUGUUUAACAAGAUAUAAUAUAUACAUAAGGAAAGUAAGGACUGCAAAUGAAGAAACUGUACCUAAAAGAAAAUGAAGACUGCUCCAGUAAAAUAUAAAAUGGGACAGACAUGCUUUUAUACAAGAA